rnacentral:rRNA from 1 species
UACGUAGGGUGCAAGCGUUAAUCGGAAUUACUGGGCGUAAAGCGUGCGCAGGCGGUGAUGUAAGACAGAUGUGAAAUCCCCGGGCUCAACCUGGGAACUGCAUUUGUGACUGCAUCGCUGGAGUGCGGCAGAGGGGGAUGGAAUUCCGCGUGUAGCAGUGAAAUGCGUAGAUAUGCGGAGGAACACCGAUGGCGAAGGCAAACCCCUGGGCCUGCACUGACGCUCAUGCACGAAAGCGUGGGGAGCAAACAGG